CCUACGGGAGGCAGCAGUGGGGAAUAUUGCGCAAUGGGCGAAAGCCUGACGCAGCGACGCCGCGUGAGGGAUGAAGGUCUUCGGAUCGUAAACCUCUGUCAGCAGGGAAGAACGGUCACUGUGCUAAUCAGCAGUGAAUUGACGGUACCUGCAAAGGAAGCACCGGCUAACUCCGUGCCAGCAGCCGCGGUAAUACGGAGGGUGCGAGCGUUAAUCGGAAUUACUGGGCGUAAAGCGCUCGUAGGCGGUAUGUCAAGUCAAGGGUGAAAGCCCCGCGCUCAACGGGAGAACUGCCUUUGAAACUGGCAAACUGGAGUGUGUGAGAGGAUAGUGGAAUUCCAGGUGUAGGAGUGAAAUCCGUAGAUAUCUGGAGGAACAUCAGUGGCGAAGGCGACUAUCUGGCACAUAACUGACGCUGAGGAGCGAAAGCGUGGGUAGCAAACAGGAUUAGAUACCCUGGUAGUC
rnacentral:rRNA from 1 species